CCUGCCCCUAGAGGUAUUGCCUGUAUGGCUGCUGGGUCACACGUGCUUCAGUGGCAGAGAGGAGAGAAGCUAUGUCUGGGCUCAGUGCUCUGACCCAUAAACAUCAAAUGAUUAGCAGCCUAACAUU
ensembl:snoRNA